rnacentral:lncRNA from 1 species
GAAAUCAUAGCUGAUUUCGCUUGGAAAGAGCUGUUGAGAAUUAAUGAUAAAUGACUCCAAAUAUUGCAAGUGUGAACGAACAAGAGAUGAUCCGCCUGAUCCACUGGAUGUUGGUGCUUGGUAAGACAUAUCUAAAAGCUUCUAGAUGAUAAAAAAAUGUCCUAGUCGGCAUAAAUAGUUUUGGAGUGCUGGAACUCUUGAGCUUCCAAAUAAGACAAGUCGAGACCUAGUUUGAUUGGUUUUGGGGAAUAGGCAAUAACUUGAGAAUUCUAUGGACAUUUACUCUGGUUUUGAGCUUGUUAGAAAUAUAAGAGACACAUCUUGAAUUAUACAAAUUUGUUUUGGGGCAAACCACAGCCACUUCAAUUGGUUGGUACUCGCAAUUCACAAUCACAUGGGUUGGAGAAUCUUUGGUCUCUA